UGCAGGGAGACCAGAACACCUUUGACACAUAUGCUCAGACCAUGCUCCAUGGUAACGGCUCCAACCGCUGGUUUGACAUCUCCUUCAACCUGGUUGUGUGGCCCAAUGGCAGAGAAGACAAACCCAGAGAAGUAACUGUAAAGGGGUAAGAGACCGUUGCGCUUCGGACCAUCAGCGUCCAGGACAACUCUACAACAUCUAAAGUAGCACUGUGGCGGAGUGCGGCUGAGGCCCCUAUUCGGCCAGGUGACCAUGUCACCAUAGCAGAUGUUGUCAUAAACAACUACAACAAUGUGAUCUCUCUCAGUACUACAUCAACGACAAAAAUUGAGAAAAUGGAUGCUCCUCUACAAACAACGGUCAUCUCCGUAGAGGCCUUUGGCGUCAAUAAUGGCCUGGCGGAACUGUAAAUUGACACAGGAGACAUGUUGAAAAUGUCAGCAGAACUUCUGCUGCAGGCACUUGAAGAAGAUGGACAUGUUAUGCCUGAUAUAGAGAUGGCCACAGCCACCGGUCCCAUCCUCAUGCAGGUGGCGACCAUGAGGUUUGAGGUUGUCAGCGUAAUUAGAUUAUAAGCUCUCUACAUCUUGCUAACCUAAGAUUUUGUUUCAACACAUCAUUAAUGUUUGUAUUUUUGAUAUUUUUGUAAGACACCUUUUCGGUUACUGAUACAAUUCAUGUUUAAUACAAAUUUAGUUUAAAUUGCACUGUUUCCUGUUGUGUUGGCAUUGAAACCAAAAAUCAUUUCUGUUGUUUAAUGUGAAUAGUUUGUGUUAAUAGGUCGAUGUGGUUGUUUGUUUGAAUGUUAUGAACUUUUUAAUACCAAAAUUAUUUCAAAAUUUAUUUAAUUAGAAAGAAGCUCCGGAAAUUUACAACGUUUACA